rnacentral:rRNA from 1 species
GACAGAGGGGGCAAGCGUUGUCCGGAUUUACUGGGCGUAAAGCGCCCGCAGGUGGUCGCGCAAGUGAGGUGUGAAAGCACUCGGCUUAACUGAGCGAGGCCAUCUCAGACUGCCUGACUUGAGCCGUGCAGAGGCCCGUGGAAUUGCCGGUGUAGUGGUGAAAUGCGUAGAGAUCGGGAAGAACAUCGGUGGCGAAGGCGGCCUGCUGGGCUGUAGCUGACGCUGAGGCGCGACAGCGUGGGGAGCAAACAGG